UCCAAAUAAGCCACCAAAACGGCAUCGUUUUGACGUGUUUGAAAAUUGUAAUAUAUCAACCAUGAAUCAACUGUCAGGCAAUGCCCGCAAGUUUAAAAAAGGAUAAUCUUAUAAAUAAAAAAUAAAAUCUAAAAUCUAGAUGGUUUUCGUAGACAAAAGAUUUUAUUCUUUUUUUUUUAUAAUUAUUACUAGGGUUUGCCCAUAAAUAGAGGGAGAAAAGCCUCAUCAUCGACGAGAAGCCACAUCCACCCAUUCCCGGAGCGACUGCUUGCCAGUAAAUCCACCAUGAGAGCUAAGUGGAAGAAGAAGCGGAUGAGGAGGUUGAAGCGAAAGCGCCGAAAGAUGAGGCAGAGAUCCAAGUAGUAUCUUCUCAUUGGCUAUUCCGUCUCCUUUGAUUUCUUCUUCUUCUUCUUUUUUUUUUUUUCUUUUUCUUUGUUCCUUUUGGUUUCUGUUGUUAGGUUUACUGAAGGCAGCAAUUCGUAAUGGUGCUGUCUUCUGGAUGUUUGAUACAUUUGUGAGAUUUAUUUUAUCUGAAUCUUUAGUUGGAAAUUUUGAUUUUUAUCGAGCA